rnacentral:siRNA from 1 species
AAUAGCCUAGCAAUGAUG